GCCGCACAACAGCUCAGUCGGUAGAACACGAGGCUCUUAACCACAGGGUCGUGGGUCAGAGCCCCACCUUGGGCA